rnacentral:rRNA from 1 species
ACCCCUACGGGACGCAGCAGUGAGGAAUAUUGGUCAAUGGCCGGAAGGCUGAACCAGCCAAGCCGCGUGAGGGAGGAAGGCGCAGAGCGUCGCAGACCUCUUUUGCCGGGGGACAAAAGGCCGGACGGGUCCGGUUCUGAGGGUACCCGGAGAAAAAGCAUCGGCUAACUCCGUGCCAGCAGCCGCGGUAAUACGUAGGGAGCAAGCGUUAUCCGGAUUUAUUGGGUGUAAAGGGUGCGUAGACGGGAAGGCAAGUUAGUUGUGAAAUCCCUCGGCUUAACUGAGGAACUGCAACUAAAACUAUC